UUUGUAUUGUUCUUUGUUGUAUUAUUUAGAUUAAUUUUACUGUUGGAUUGAUUCAUGUGAUAUCUAUUUAUCGUGGCUCGGUAUCUAAGUAUCCCGUCAAUGUGUUUGUAUUGUCUUUCAUUUUUUGCUGGUGUGUUUUGUAUAUGCGACUUUUUGUGUUUCUUAAAUUCUUACAACGUGACUCUGUACUUUAAAAGAUCCUGUCAGUAUGAU
rnacentral:lncRNA from 1 species